rnacentral:rRNA from 1 species
UACGAAGGGGGCUAGCGUUGCUCGGAAUUACUGGGCGUAAAGGGCGCGUAGGCGGAUGUUUAAGUCGGGGGUGAAAGCCCGGGGCUCAACCUCGGAAUUGCCUUCGAUACUGGACAUCUUGAGUACGGGAGAGGUGAGUGGAACUCCGAGUGUAGAGGUGAAAUUCGUAGAUAUUCGGAAGAACACCAGUGGCGAAGGCGACUCACUGGCCCGUUACUGACGCUGGGGCGCGAAAGCGUGGGGAGCAAACAGG